AUGACGCCAACUAAUCACAACUUCUUGGUUGCGUUUUGUUUGUUGCGAGAUAAGGCGGAUGUGUCAUUUAGGGUUUUGUUUGGCAGUGCUCAGUCUUCUAACGUAAUCAUAACCAAUCGAGACGAGGGUUUAUCUGCAGCUAUCCGUGAUGUCUUAACAGAUGUGCGAUAUUUAUUAUGCGUAUGGCAUAUUGUCAAUGGCGUAGAGAACAUGGUGGACAAAUUGUGCGGCGGGAAAAGAAAUCAACAAGGGUAGAUAUUCAGGCAAACUAGAUGGAACCCCUUGGUUAAUAGUUCUACACCCGAUGAAUUUGAAAAAAAAAUGGGAAUCGAUUGUGGCUACUUGGUCAACAUGAAAUAAAAGGGUCGUUCGAUAUUUGGCUGGAACAUGUAUUCCACAUAAAGAGAAAUUUGUGCGUGCAUGGACGAAUGACUGUGCACAUCAUGGGUAACCAGACUACCAGCAGAGUUGAAAGCCAACACUCGUCUUUCAAGUAAUAUCUUGGUAGUGGUAAUAAUUGCUUUGAUACCCUGUUCAAAAGGGCACACGCAUAAAUAACAAAUCAGCAAUCGACGAUCUGACAAGUGCUACAGGAAUCGAUGAAUUCUAUUUCAAGGUCUUUGCGAUAUAAUUUGAUGAGACCAUUAUAUCUUCAUGUAUCCAUUUUUGCCAUGGAACAAUUGCUGCUUGAGCAUAACUGUAUGUUAGAGUUAGGUGAUUAUGUCUUUGACAAAUGCGGUUGUGCACUUCAGAGCAGCCAUGGAUUAUCCUGUGUUUGUUAUUUUUAUCUAUCGAUCAAGUCACAAGGUUUCUUGUAUUUGGAUGACAUACAUCCAUUCUGGAAGACACUAACGUACAUAGAGGCAAAAGCUGACGCCAACGAAGGAGUACGGCACGCAAACGCUGAUGAUAAAGAGUACUUUCAAUUGUUGGUUGAUGAAGUGCUAAAUCGAUCCUGCAGUUGUACGACGCGUGUCUUAGGUACUUGAAGAUGAAUUACAUCCUGAUGGUACCGAUAUACCUAAGCCACAUGCAAGUCCACCGAGAAUGAGAAGACCAACAAGCAAGCAAACCUCUCAGGAGAAACAAAAGCGCUUUUGAAUACAACAGAUCAAUAUCUUCAUCACGUGGUAGAUCUAGUGGUCGAUCAACUUUAAUUUCAACUUAUCUGAUGGUUCAACAUGUCGUGAUUUUUCACUUUUUCCAUGGCCCAAAUACAUUCCGCAUAUUCUUCCUUCGUGCUUAUUUGAUUGGAAUGAUGUUAUCGGUGAUGGAAACUAAUAUAAAGUUAUUGCCGUCACAGAGUUGGGAGGCGAGGAGGCAUGGCCUCCUUUACGACCUGCAAUGUUUAUGGAAAUGCAAGUGAAUAGAGAGCAAUACCUACAUUUGUAUCUAUCAGCAAAGACGCUAGAUAAUGUUAUGUUUAGAUUUGGUUCACAUAUUAAGGGACCUGCACCG